CGCUAAUGGCUCAUUAUAACAACUAUAAUUUACUUGAUCUUGACACAAUCCUACUUGGAUAACUGUGGAAAUUCUAGAGAUAAUACACUGCAUUAAAGCUCUGACCUCACGGGAAGAGUGCAUUUAUUAAAACAAAACCAAUCGGCUUCCGCUGUUUCUGGUUGACUCAUAGUAACUGAGCUGAUCGCAUGGGCUUGCGCCGGCAACGUGUCUUUCAAGUAUCUGCCGUAUCACCUUUCCAUGGUAGUGGAUCUGACUACCAUGGUGAUCACGCGUAACGGAGAAUAAGGGCUCGGCUCCGGAGAGUUCGCCUCAGAAAUCGCGAACACAUCUAAGGAAGGCACUAGGCGCGAAAAUUACCCACUCUCAGCACUAGGAGGUAGUGACGAAAAAUAACGAGACCGUUCUCUUAUGAGGCCGGUCAUACGAAUGGGUACAAUUUAAACCCUUUAACGAGUAUCUAUGAGAGGGCGAGUCUGGUGCCAGCAGUCACGGUAAUUCCUGCU
rnacentral:rRNA from 1 species